AUCAACUAAUUCACUGAAUAUAAUAUUCACUGGAGGGAGGGAGGCUUAUCAUUAAGUGGGUGCUCUGGCCAAGUCAGGGUCUGCUGAAAAAACAAAGUAAACUGACACUGAGGUCAGAGCAGGGCCAGACAAGAGACAACUGUGACCUAAAACAGUGUCAGGAACGUCACCAAAGGACAACAGUGCGGAGAAACCUAGAAGAAUUGCCACUUGACAAUUCACAACACAGAACUGAGACGUUCCGGGCUGUGCCAAAGUUCCGGGCACAUCUUUCCUUGCAGGAAGCCAAAGCUCCCUACAUAGGCCUGUCGGUUCCAGAACGCCUCAGGAAGGCAGGAAAUGGCUCAGAGGCAGGACCACGACCAUCUACGAUGUGAGAUCUCUGGCCUCUGGGUCUCCUGACUGCUAGGUCAGCACUCCAGCAGGCUCCUUGGGUGAGCCAGACCCCCAUCUACCAUGCUAUGGGACUGGUUUCACUUUCUAUCCUCAGAACUGUCUUCACUGACACCAAGAAGCAAACGACAGAGGGGUGGGUCUUCAGGAGACCCAGAAUAAAGAGAGCAAGUAGAGAGUUCAAACAUCCCUGAUACAGUUGAGCAGAAAAGAGACUAAGGAAGAACGAAAAGAGGAGAAGGACUCAGAUGAGACUUACAUUAAAAGAAGAAAUGGAUAACCUGGCUUCACCACUUUCGAAACACUCCGUUCAUCAGUAAACAGCAACCUCUUCUUCUUAGAGACUUCCCCGCCAUCCGCGACAGCCUCGUCUCUACGGCCUGACUCCGAUCCUGCACCUGGCUAUGCACGACAACAGGCCGGUGUUUAAGCCCUCCAGCUGCUGUACCAGGUGAUGAGUCAGGGUUUUCAGUUGGAAACAAAUGACAAAGUUAUCUUCUGAUUCAGAAAGACAGCUGACACUUCAGACAUGUGAGUGCUGAGUAAACAGCACCUCCUUCUA